UGGGGAAUAUUGGACAAUGGGCGAAAGCCUGAUCCAGCAAUGCCGCGUGAGUGAUGAAGGCCUUAGGGUUGUAAAGCUCUUUUACCCGGGAUGAUAAUGACAGUACCGGGAGAAUAAGCUCCGGCUAACUCCGUGCCAGCAGCCGCGGUAAUACGGAGGGAGCUAGCGUUGUUCGGAAUUACUGGGCGUAAAGCGCACGUAGGCGGCUACUCAAGUCAGAGGUGAAAGCCCAGGGCUCAACCCUGGAACUGCCUUUGAAACUAGGUAGCUAGAAUUCUGGAGAGGUCAGUGGAAUUCCGAGUGUAGAGGUGAAAUUCGUAGAUAUUCGGAAGAACACCAGUGGCGAAGGCGACUGACUGGACAGACAUUGACGCUGAGGUGCGAAAGCGUGGGGAGCAAACAGGAUUAGAUACCCCGGUAGUCC
rnacentral:rRNA from 1 species